UACAUGGGGUGCAAACGUUGCUCGGAAUUAUUGGGCGUAAAGCGCACGUAGGCGGUUUGUUAAGUCGGAUGUGAAAUCCCUCGGCUCAACUGAGGAAGUGCAUCCGAAACUGGCAAGCUUGAGUACGAAAGAGGGUCGCGGAAUACCCGGUGUAGAGGUGAAAUGCGUAGAUAUCGUCAGGAAUGCCGGUGGUGAAGACGGGUGACUGGGCUGGUUCUGACACUGAGGCACGAAAGCGUGGGGAGCGAACGGG
rnacentral:rRNA from 1 species